rnacentral:piRNA from 1 species
GUUGACACUUUGGGUCUGAGUGA